rnacentral:rRNA from 1 species
UACAGAGGUCUCAAGCGUUGUUCGGAUUCAUUGGGCGUAAAGGGUGCGUAGGCGGCGCGGUAAGUCGGGUGUGAAAUCUUGGAGCUUAACUCCGAAACUGCAUUCGAUACUGCCGUGCUUGAGGACUGGAGAGGAGACUGGAAUUUACGGUGUAGCGGUGAAAUGCGCAGAUAUCGGGAAGAACACCCGUGGCGAAGGCGGUUCUACUGGGACGGUACUGACGCUGAGACGCGAAAGCGUGGGGAGCGAACAGG